CUUGACUGUAGCUUGGAAUUGGGUUCGGGCUCUUCUUGCGCAGCCUAGGUGGGAGGCGUUGAAGGUUUUCUUUCGGGGAAACUGGAGCCAAUAGUGAGAGACCACUCUGGAGGAGCUAGAAUUCUAAUGGCGUUCCUUGAAGCAGGACGCUUGACAGUUUCAGGUGGGCAGUUUGACUGGGGCGGUCACCUCCUAAAAGGUAACGGAGGUGUGCAAAGGUUCCCUCAGGCUGGACGGAAAUCAGCCGGAGAGUGUAAAGGCAGAAGGGAGCUUGACUGCAAGACCUACAAGUCGAGCAGGGGCGAAAGCCGGCCUUAGUGAUCCGACGGUUCCGCAUGGAAGGGCCGUCGCUCAACGGAUAAGAGUUA
rnacentral:rRNA from 1 species